GCUUAGUUGGUAAAGCACAAGGCUCUUAACCUUGUGGACGUGGAUUCAAGCCCCAU
rfam:Triticum aestivum genome assembly, contig: Triticum_aestivum_CS42_TGACv1_scaffold_499421_6BL